rnacentral:rRNA from 1 species
UGAGCAAUCUGCCCUUCUCUUUGGAAUAAGCGUUGGAAACGACGUCUAAUGCCGAAUACGACCUCCUUUCGCAUGAUCGGAGGUGGAAAGCUCCGGCGGGGAAGGAUGAGCUCGCGGCCUAUCAGCUAGUUGGUGUGGGUAACGGCCCACCAAGGCGACGACGGGUAGCCGGCCUGAGAGGGUGACCGGCCACACUGGGACUGAGACACGGCCCAGACUCCUACGGGAGGCAG